rnacentral:rRNA from 1 species
CAUUACACAAUAACAAGGCGGGCUGGACACCCCCCGCUGGGCACUGCUUCACGGCGUGCGCGGCGGGGCCGGCCCUGCUGAAUUAUUCACCCGUGUCUUUUGCGUACUUCUUGUUUCCUGGGUGGGCUCGCCCGCCCUCAGGACCAACCACAAACCUUUUGCAAUAGCAAUCAGCGUCAGUAACAACGUAAUUAAUUACAACUUUCAACAACGGAUCUCUUGGUUCUGGCAUCGAUGAAGAACGCAGCGAAAUGCGAUACGUAGUGUGAAUUGCAGAAUUCAGUGAAUCAUCGAAUCUUUGAACGCACAUUGCGCCCUUUGGUAUUCCAAAGGGCAUGCCUGUUCGAGCGUCAUUUGUACCCUCAAGCUUUGCUUGGUGUUGGGCGUCUUUUGUCUCCAGUUCGCUGGAGACUCGCCUUAAAGUCAUUGGCAGCCGGCCUACUGGUUUCGGAGCGCAGCACAAGUCGCGCUCUUUGCCAGCCAAGGUCAGCGUCCAGCAAGCCUUUUUUUCAACCUUUGACCUCGGAUCAGGUAGGGAUACCCGCUGAACUUAAGCAUAUCAAUAAG